UAGUGCUAUAGCUCUUUUAGAAUGUGUCUAGCAGGUUUUCCAAUUUUUUCCAAAAGACGCCCCC
ensembl:snRNA U7 U7 small nuclear RNA